rnacentral:rRNA from 1 species
UACAGAGGGUGCAAGCGUUGCUCGGAAUUAUUGGGCGUAAAGCGCGUGUAGGCGGCUUAGCAAGUCGGGCGUGAAAGCCCUCGGCUCAACCGAGGAAGUGCACCCGAAACUGCUGAGCUUGAGUGCCGGAGAGGAUGGCGGAAUUCCCCAAGUAGAGGUGAAAUUCGUAGAUAUGGGGAGGAACACCGGUGGCGAAGGCGGCCAUCUGGACGGUAACUGACGCUGAGACGCGAAAGCGUGGGGAGCAAACAGG